CCCGUAGGUGAACCUGCGGAAGGAUCAUUACCGAGUGCAGGUCUGCCCCCGGGCAGGCCUAACCUCUCACUCGUGAAUACCUGACCAACGUUGCUUCGGCGGUGCGCCCCCCCGGGGGUAGCCGCCGGAGACCACACUGAACCUCUUGUCUUUAGUGUUGUCUGAGCUUGAUAGCAAACCUAUUAAAACUUUCAACAAUGGAUCUCUUGGUUCCGGCAUCGAUGAAGAACGCAGCGAACUGCGAUAAGUAAUGUGAAUUGCAGAAUUCAGUGAAUCAUCGAGUCUUUGAACGCACAUUGCGCCCCCUGGCAUUCCGGGGGGCAUGCCUGUCCGAGCGUCAUUGCUGCCCUUCAAGCCCGGCUUGUGUGUUGGGUCGUCGUCCCCCCUGGGGGACGGGCCCGAAAGGCAGCGGCGGCACCGCGUCCGGUCCUCGAGCGUAUGGGGCUUUGUCACCCGCUCGAUUAGGGCCGGCCGGGCGCCAGCCGGCGUCUCCAACCUUCUAUUUUACCAGGUUGACCUCGGAUCAGGUAGGGAUACCCGCUGAACUUAAGCAUAUCAAUAAGCGGAGGAA
rnacentral:sRNA from 1 species